GCGCCCGUAGCUCAAUUGGACAGAGCGCUUGGCUUCGGACCAAGAGGCUUGAGGUUCGAGUCCUCAUGGGCGCA
rnacentral:tRNA from 1 species